rnacentral:lncRNA from 1 species
GAUUGUCAUAUCAGCUUCAUCUCAUUAGUAAAGAUCCGACUUUAGGGACUUAGAGGGGUGCUACGGUCUUUACCGUACCUUCCCGAUAAGUAACCUGACCCCCGAACCCGAUCCGGUUUUUCAUAGACCGCCUUUUCCAAAAUAAGGAGUCACACUUAGGGUUUUUCUUUCUUAUUUUGUUUACCCUUUAAAAAUAAAACAAAAAUAAGUGGCGACUCCAAGUCAUUUUUGAAUAAAUAAAAUCAUUUUUUCAAAAUAAUAAAUCGAGCUCGUCAUCGAGUGGGAAACGCAUGAGCCGAAAUGCGGGGUCCACAUCUUUCUCUUUUAGGAUUAGAGCCUUUGUGUUCGUCUACUAGCCUGAGUGAGUUUGUAUUUCACUAGUAUCCCUAUGGGGGUCUCCUUGGUUCUUCGGUAGAGUUCACUUCAUUCCACUCACUAUUCACACUUGUUUUUCACUCCAGUGUUCAUAUUCCUUACACUCGUGAGCUCUAUUGAAGAGGGGCAUAUUUGUAGACCCCCAUUUUAGGGCACUUUCUUUCUCACCUUUCAUGUAGGUUAUUUGGCCAGGUGGCACGAUCCCAGGAGACCACAUGGCGUCUUUGGAGAAGCUGACAGAGAAUUAGGUUAGUGCUUUGAGGAGCUAUCAGAAUUCAACACCUGUAAAGGGGAUUUGAGAAAAGCUGCAGACGGUUAAGGAGUGGAGCGUUUCUGUUAUAGUGGGAGCAUGCCAACUGCAGGAGAAGAGUGCUUUACAGGAGGCCAGGACAGAGGAGAGGUGCUGGAGAGGAGGGGAUUCACGGGAGAGCUAGGAGCAGCAAGCUAGAGGAGAGUGGCGUUUUUGGGCUGCUGUUUUCUGGCAGAGGGAAGGAGCCAUAGUCUGGAGCAGAGAUCUUUGAGAGGGAUUCUGAGUUGAGCGCUUACCGGAGACGGAGCAAGGAGUUGCAACCCAAGACUAGUUGAAGAAGAGGCUUUCAGCGCGUUGCCGUUUGCUAAUCAGGUACGUAUCCACUUCCACUUCAGUUAUCCUCUAUUGCAUAUUCUAAUAUUCAUAUGUGCAUGAUUGAUUCGAGUAUUCAUUGAUUUUCUCAUUGAUUGUCAUAUCAGCUUCAUCUCAUUAGUAGAGACCCGACUUUAGGGACUUAGAGGGGUGCUACGGUCUUUAUCGUACCUUCCCGAUAAGUAACCUGACCCCUGAACCCGAUCCGGUUUUUCAUAGACCGCCUUUUCCAAAAUAAGGAGUCACACUUAGGGUUUUUCUUUCUUAUUUUGUUUACCCUUUAAAAAUAAAACAAAAAUAAGUGGCGACUCCAAGUCAUUUUUGAAUAAAUAAAAUCAUUUUUUCAAAAUAAUAAAUCGAGCUCGUCAUCGAGUGGGAAACGCAUGAGCCGAAAUGCGGGGUCCACAUCCUUCUCUUUUAGGAUUAGAGCCUUUGUGUUCGUCUACUAGCCUGAGUGAGUUUGUAUUUCACUAGUAUCCCUAUGGGGGUCUCCUUGGUUCUUCGGUAGAGUUCACUUCAUUCCACUCACUAUUCACACUUGCUUUUCACUCCAGUGUUCAUAUUCCUUACACUCGUGAGCUCUACUGAAGAGGGGCAUAUUUGUAGACCCCCAUUUUAGGGCACUUUCUUUCUCACCUUUCAUGCAGGUUAUUUGGCCAGGUGGCACGAUCCCAGGAGACCACAUGGCGUCUUUGGAGAAGCUGACAGAGAAUUAGGUUAGUGCUUUGAGGAGUUAUCAGAAUUCGACACCUGUAAAGGGGAUUUGAGAAAAGCUGCAGACAGUUAAGGAGUGGAGCGUUUCUGUUAUAGUGGGAGCAGGCCAACUGCAGGAGAAGAGUGCUUUACAGGAGGCCAAGUCAAAGGAGAGGUGCUGGAGAGGAGGGGAUUCACGGGAGAGCUAGGAGCAGUAAGCUAGAGGAGAGUGGUGUUUUUGGGCUGCUGUUUUCUGGCAGAGGGAAGGAGCCAUAGUCUGGAGCAGAGAUCUUUGAGAGGGAUUCUGAGUUGAGCGCUUACCGGAGACGGAGCAGGGAGUUGCAACCCAAGACUAGUUGAAGAAGAGGCUUUCAACGCGUUGCCGUUUGCUGAUCAGGUAUGUAUCCACUUCCACUUCGGUUAUCCUCUAUUGCAUAUUCUGAUAUUCAUAUGUGCAUGAUUGAUUCGAGUAUUCAUUGAUUUUCUCAUUGAUUGUCAUAUCAGCUUCAUCUCAUUAGUAGAGACCCGACUUUAGGGACUUAGAGAGGUGCUACGGUCUUUACCGUACCUUCCCGAUAAGUAACCUGACCCCCGAACCCGAUCCGGUUUUUCACAGACCGCAUUUUCCAAAAUAAGGAGUCACACUUAGGGUUUUUCUUUCUUAUUUUGUUUACCCUUUAAAAAUAAAACAAAA